rnacentral:lncRNA from 1 species
GGAACAAGUUAAGUGACACCACAGAGAAGGAAAUAGACAAAUUUAGAAGGUGAGACACUCUCUAAAACAACUGACAGUCUCUGCAUCAAGUUAGUAACAGGACAAAAAGGAGAGGGAGGAGGUGAGAAGAAGCUCUAGACUAAAGAGGUACAGCAACCAAAUGAAAGUCCCCCUGUUGAGACAUAGCAGGAGGGCCAGGGGAUUUUGUUUGUUCAGCCUCCCACUGAGCCCCACCAACACCACCCAGGCAAAAGUGGACAAUUCACUCACUCACUCUGCCCAGAUGUCAGCAGUUGCUGCCAGUUGUGGAUGUACAGCUCAUUGGACCCUGCUGACACUAUCCUGGUGAGGAAUUGAGGAAGACCUGCUUCUGCCAGACAGGGGAUGGAAGAGCAGCAACCCCCUCAACCAGUCAACACCAACCUGGGUGGAAUCAAAGUGCUGCUGUCUGUUUCCAGUUGGAAGCUUCUACAGGGUCCUGUCCAGGAUACAUGGGAGGUAACAAGGAAACCCAGGGAACCCCUUGCAGUGUUGGUCCUCAAGUCCCAAGAAAAAGAAAUGCCAGGAAGAUAUGAAUUGUUGUGGAAUAUUCCAACAUGAAAUCAAAAAUUGAUCUAAAAUCAGAAGUAUCGAAAGCAAUAUCAAUUUCCAAAAUCAAGGCACUCUGACGCAGGGAAAUCACAAUGUAGGGUUAAACAACCUGAGAACGUUCAGCCUAUGGAAGAAACGCCUUAGCAAGGCGAGAACCCUGAAAAGAGAUCAGAUUGCCUCAAGAAAUAGUGAUUUCCUGUCAAGGAAAAAAGCUGGACAGCCUCUUAUUGGGAAUGUUAUCAAGGCGGCCCUUAAGAAUUUAUGAUUCUUGGGGGCUGGCCCCGUGGCCGAGUGGUUAAGUUCGCGCGCUCCGCUGCAGGCGGCCCAGUGUUUCGUUGGUUCGAAUCCUGGGCGCGGACAUGGCACUGCUCAUCAAGCCACGCUGAGGCGGCAUCCCACAUGCCACAACUAG